rnacentral:lncRNA from 1 species
AUUUUCAAGCAAGCUUUCACUGCCUUCAGAAGAAUCAUGCUCCACUUCACACAGAGGCCAACCAACAAGCAGCUGACUAGGAGGAAGCUCUCCAAACAAACAGUAUCUGCCCAGCUCACAGCAAUUUUAGAUUUACCAUAAGUGAAGAAAGUGAGUGGUACUCAGAGAAGCGGAGGAACCAAGCUUUAUUAUGCCAGUGGACUCAAAGGAGCUAUGUACGCCAAAGUCUGAGCCCUGAGCUAGUGUGCG